rnacentral:tRNA from 1 species
GGUGGCUCAGUGGUAGAGCACUUGCCUUGCAUGCGUGAGCCCCUGGGUUCGAUUCCUCAGCACCA